rnacentral:rRNA from 1 species
UUGUUGGUAAGGUAAAAGCUUACCAAGGCUUCGAUCAGUAGCUGGUCUGAGAGGACGACCAGCCACACUGGGACUGAGACACGGCCCAGACUCCUACGGGAGGCAGCAGUGGGGAAUUUUGGACAAUGGGGGCAACCCUGAUCCAGCCAUGCCGCGUGAGUGAAGAAGGCCUUCGGGUUGUAAAGCUCUUUCAGCCGGAACGAAACGGUUACGGAUAACACCCGUGACUACUGACGGUACCGGAAGAAGAAGCACCGGCUAACUACGUGCCAGCAGCCGCGGUAAUACGUAGGGUGCGAGCGUUAAUCGGAAUUACUGGGCGUAAAGCGUGCGCAGGUGGUUUUGUAAGUCAGAUGUGAAAGCCCCGGGCUCAACCUGGGAACUGCGUUUGAAACUACAAGACUAGAGUGUGGCAGAGGGGGGUGGAAUUCCGCGUGUAGCAGUGAAAUGCGUAGAGAUGUGGAGGAACACCGAUGGCGAAGGCAGCCCCCUGGGUCAACACUGACGCUCAGGCACGAAAGCAUGGGGAGCAAACAGGAUUAGAUACCCUGGUAGUCCAUGCCCUAAACGAUGUCAACUAGUUGUCGGGCCUUUACGGGCUUGGUAACGUAGCUAACGCGUGAAGUUGACCGCCUGGGGAGUACGAUCGCAAGAUUAAAACUCAAAUGAAUUGACGGGGACCCGCACAAGCGGUGGAUUAUGUGGAUUAAUUCGAUGCAACGCGAAAAACCUUACCUACCCUUGACAUGUAUCGAAGCCCGCAGAAAAGCGGGGGUGCCCGAAAGGGAACGAUAACACAGGUGCUGCACGGCUGUCGUCAGCUCGUGUCGUGAGAUGUUGGGUUAAGUCCCGCAACGAGCGCAACCCUUGUCAUUAAUUGCCAUCAUUUAGUUGGGCACUUUAAUGAGACUGCCGG